rnacentral:lncRNA from 1 species
GUAAUUGUGACAGAGACCAUACAGACCACAAAGCCUGAAAUAUUUAUGAUAUGACCUUCUCUAGACAAAGUUUGUUGACCCAUGUUCUAAAGAGUUAAAUCAUGAAGUUAUCUCCAUCAAAAAAAUGGAUGAACUAAUAAAUGAUUAAGAAUGGAGGCUACAGCUGUACACAGGUAACUGUUCUUCUGGACAUUGUUUGUUCUCUUUGUAGAAAGUAGACAAUUUCAAAACAAGGUGGUUACUGUUACUGAAAUUGUAAAUUAUGUAGGGGCUGUCUGUUUUAUGUCUGAUGUAUUUGUUAAUAUUUAGAAUUAAUUCCUAUUUCUGAAAAAUAUGU